rnacentral:lncRNA from 1 species
AAAAAAAAUCACCUCUCCGUAUUCCCUGCUGGCUAUCCAUUUCCCAGUGAUGCACCUGCUGUAGGAUACAGUGCCCUGAAUUUCUUAGGUCAAAGCUGUCUAAGAAGAAACCAUGCAAAAGAAAGCAGGACUGGGAGAAUGGGAAUGCUGAGUUCUAAUGGGAAAUUCGAGCCUUGGAUCCAGUGGGGUGCAUGUGGACAUAGAAAUGGAAUUAGCCAACACAGAGCUCGACCUCCUCUUCUCCAUGGAUGAAUAUUACUACACAUGCUGCCCGAUGGCAGUGAAAUUGUAGGCAUAGUUUGUGGUGAGACCCUGGGAUCCUGUGGCUCUUUGUGUGAUUCAAAGCCCAUGACAUUUUCAUGUGUGAGGCUCAGAGAAGGGAAUAACUUGCUCACCCACCUCAUUCUCUUCUAGAACAGUACCAAGGGAUGAAAACCUCUCUCACUGUAUAACUGUGUGCUGCCUGCUCUGGUACAUCUAGCGUGUGCGAUCUUUAGAUGAGAAGAGCACUGGUGCUGGAACUCUCCAGGGCUAGGUCAAGCUCACAGGUGUAGACAUGACUAUACAAAACAAAUCCACACUAUCCAGUCUUGUCCUUUCUGUCUCAUAAUUCUUAAUUCAAGUUUAUGGAAGGAAGGUAGAGAUGGCUUUAAUUUAAGAGACCAUGCAGACUUUGGAAUCAGGCUGAGUGAAACUUCUCCUACUUGAUUACUUAUUGCAUUAAAGACACUAGCUAACCAUUUAUGCUGUUUAAGUGCCAUUACUAUGGCUGAAAAAAAUGGAGAAUAUCUGUGAUCCAGCAUCUCUAUGAGUACUAGGUGAGACCUUGUAUGUAAAGGGAUUAGCAACGAGCCCGGCAUGAAGCAAGUGUUCCAUGAAAGCCCAUUGACAAUGUUUCACAGUAAUGUUGAUAGAAUAGGGGACACUACCACAUUGCUGAUACUGGAAGAGCUUUCACACUGGGACUCCUGAUAGCCUGGAGCAGUGUUUUAGUGUGAAAUCUGGCCAAAUGAUUCACAGAAGUACUUCUUCACAAAUGAUUUAGUUUCAAAUGAAGCACAUGGGGAUCUUUGACCCAAAGAUAUGAGUAUGCCUUACAGAAUUAUUGUUUUUCACUUUUGGAUACCCUAGGACACAGGGUCUAGAGCUAUCUUCAAGUAACCUCUGGUUUAAACAUGUUUCCUUGUGCCUAAGUAUGGUGGACACCUUGGUAACUUGUUUGUGGGAGUUUGACCUUCUCCCCAACCCACAUACAAACAGUCUCCUCUUCCACAUCCCAUGGAGGGUGCAGGUGCUGAGAAAGUUGAUGUUAUUUGAGAACACAUUGUUUGGUUAGUUGACAAAGCUUCUCUUGUUUUUAUUCUUUUCUUGCAAGGGGAACAUUUUUAUGUUCAAGAAAUCAUUUACGGACUGGAUUUUUGUGAGAUGGCUAGAUUCCAUUAGAUGAAGAGGUGGUUUUGUGAGAUAAUAUUGUCACAUUUGAGUCCCACAGAUUGUGAUCCAAUUUUGUGCAGACUCCUCUAGAAUGCUAACUUCAAAGUGGAAGAAAAGCAUUUCAUCUCAUAACUCCAGGAAUCAGGUUGACUGACAACUCUCUCUUUAACAUGCAACCAUGGAAACCAUUCAUCUUACACACACAUCACUGAGAUCCUUGGGUCAUACCUGGUACUACAUGGAUGUUAGACACCCAGAGGUAUAUAUACGAUCUUAAGAGACUGUUUGCAGUACCUUAAGAACAUAUGAAUUUACAGGAUCACAACUACUUAAAAAGGGUCUCAGAACUUAUUUCUAAAAAUCACUGUUGUAGUAUUGCUGUUUCCUCUUGGAUGGAAGUGAUCAUACCUUGAAGUAGAGCAGCUACAAUAUUCCAUACAAGACUCAUGAUAUCGGGCCUAUCUGAGAUUAUUUAAAGAGAUGAACCAUUGACUGCGGGCUUAGACUUCUCACUGUUUUAUUAGUCCUGCACCUUCCUAUAAGGAACCCCAAUAAAUUAAUUGUUUCACUAAGCUGCUCUUUGAUUGGAUCCAGUUCUGCCUG